rnacentral:lncRNA from 1 species
AGAGCCUGUAGCUGCACAGCUGUGCUUCCACCUGGCGUUCAGUACCUCGUGCCCGAGAGCGGAAAAGGGAAAUCGCGAGCGGAGGACCGAUGUGCUGGCCACGUGGGCCCCGCCGGGCCGACUCCGGACCCUGCUGCCGCCCAUUCCUCCGGUGCAAGGGACCUGGAAGUGAUCCCGGUGCCGCUCUGCUCCCACCAGCUAGGGAGCAGAGGCGCGGGAGGGAAGGGGCGUCCCGGGGGUCGCCAGCACGCUGCGGGCAGGGCUGGCAGCCGCCUCCACGCCCCCGCGCUGGAAGCCUCGUCUUUGUAACAUCGAGGUAUCCUGUAACUAGAUGGGUCCUGGCCUGCGGAGGUAGUUUCCCCUGUGAAGCCAGGGACUCAGCCAGGAGCGUGAGGGGACCCGGAUCCUGAGUCUCCAAGCCGCCCACUACCCUCUGCUUUACCGGAUGGAACUCAUCAGUAACUAGGUAUCUUUAAGGGCGGCUCCCUGGCGCGCUCUGAGAGUUACGGAAGUCCCAAAAUGCUUUGACCGAAAACGUCUAAACAGUGAAUACAUAAAGCAAAAAGCCGCGUGGGAAAUUCGAGUCCCUAGGAGCGCCCAGGGGACGCCUCUGGAGGUGGACUGCCACUCACUCCAGGCCACGCUGGAAUGCCCGCACCAGGGAGGCACUGCACUUGAAUUGGGGACACUUUUUUUUUUUUUUUUCAUUUUUACCUUUCAUUCCCUUUUGGACAAUCCAGACAGGAUAUGUCUCUCCCUAGGGUGGGGAUUUCGACUCCUUAGGGUGGGAGUACAGCCGAUGAAGAGUUAAGGAGAGGAGUGGGUAGAUCUAGAUCUAGCCUUGGGUGGGUGGGGGCGGGGUUGGAGGAGCUCAGAGCACUGGCCCAGCGCUGCCCCCAACUUGCUGUGUGCUCUUGGACAAGUUAUCUCCCUUCUCUGGGCUUCAGAUAACCCAAGGAUCCUUACAUAUCUUUAUAGCUACAAAGCCCUGUGAGGUUUUGAAAAACUUCCUUGGUACCCAAAACCAGGUCUGAGGCACAGUCAGUGAAUACCUGUUUAAUGAAUGCAUGCAUAAAUGAAUGAAUGGAUGAUCCAGCUCUUCCUGGAGCAGGCACGACUUCCACAGAAACAGAGCAAACGCUAGCCGUAAGCAGAAAGAACGUUAUAGCUCCAGCGCUGAAUGAGACAUCUUUGAUUCUGUGGUGAUGCGGACUUUGUGCCUCUCUGUGAGGAAUCACUUUGUUCCAAUGACGCAAUUUUCCUCACACUCCGGAAGUGUCCUGCACUGCCAGAAUCGCCCAGCUUCCCGGCACACCUAUCAACCAGUCGUUCCCAGCACUGCCCAGUAUGCAGCCUCCAGGCAGAGGGCCUGGAUGUCUUGGCAGCCCACCCCAAAGCCCAAACUCCUGCCCGCAUGCUGGGAAGGUGAGCCCUUGCCUGGAGAGCCCAGCAGGGGAAAUAGAAGGAGGGAAGGAGGCCUGCUCCUUCCCCGGAGCUCUGCUCUGCGGCUGCAGGAAGACCCGCAGAGGCCCUGGGCAGCAGAACUGUGGACAGCAAGGCUGGAGUUGUGAAACCCAACCACUCAGCUGGAUUCCAGAAGCUCAGGUGGUGGUGACUAAACCUGGCCUUACUUAAAAUGCAUGACUUUAUUGUCUUUCAAUGUAUUUUCAGUAAACUUCAUCCUCUCCAUUACUAUUUUCUUUUCUUCGGAAACAAGCAACAGAUCUUUGUAAAAAAAAUACGU